UUAGCGGCGGACGGGUCSWKUAACACGUGGGUAACCUGCCUGUAAGACUGGGAUAACUCCGGGAAACCGGGGCUAAUACCGGAUGGUUGUUUGAACCGCAUGGUUCAAACAUAAAAGGUGGCUUCGGCUACCACUUACAGAUGRACCCGCGGCGCAUUAGCUAGUUGGUGAGGUAACGGCUCACCAAGGCRACGAUGCGUAGCCGACCUGAGAGGGUGAUCGGCCACACUGGGACUGAGACACGGCCCAGACUCCUACGGGAGGCAGCAGUAGGGAAUCUUCCGCAAUGGACGAAAGUCUGACGGAGCAACGCCGCGUGAGUGAUGAAGGUUUUCGGAUCGUAAAGCUCUGUUGUUAGGGAAGAACAAGUACCGUUCGAAUAGGGCGGUACCUUGACGGUACCUAACCAGAAAGCCACGGCUAACUACGUGCCAGCAGCCGCGGUAAUACGUAGGUGGCAAGCGUUGUCCGGAAUUAUUGGGCGUAAAGGGCUCGCAGGCGGUUUCUUAAGUCUGAUGUGAAAGCCCCCGGCUCAACCGGGGAGGGUCAUUGGAAWCUGGGGAACUUGAGUGCAGAAGAGGAGAGUGGAAUUCCACGUGUAGCGGUGAAAUGCGUAGAGAUGUGGAGGAACACCAGUGGCGAAGGCGACUCUCUGGUCUGUAACUGACGCUGAGGAGCGAAAGCGUGGGGAGCGAACAGGAUUA
rnacentral:rRNA from 1 species